rnacentral:snoRNA from 1 species
AAGCCAGCCAGCUAAUCUUAUCUGAAUGUGUUUCUGCAGAAAGUUUGAAUAAUCUGGCAAUAGUGGUGGCAUUUUAUAAGUUUAAGGACAACUGAGGUCAUUAUAGUCCUUCAAAAUGGCUACAAUA